AUUCUUGGAUUUUCUUUUGGACUAUACGUAGAAUACUCCGUAUAGCCUUUAAAUGUCCUUGGAUCCAUAAAAGUUGAACGAAAUUAAGGAAACUAAUCCUGAAAGUUCAAAGUUCCGGCAUAGAAAAACUCCAUCAUUCGUGGAAGCACCGUAGCCUAGUGGUUAUGGUUUAAAGGCUUCUACACCCAGGUCUGGGGUUCAAAUCCCAGACUAUGCAAUUUCUUGCAGAUUGCACAGGAAAUCCAGGUUUCAAUUCCCGGAGCAAGCGAUUUAUUCAACAAUUAUGCGAUUACGGAAGAAAGGCUUACAAGAGUUUCUCAACAUGGUGCAAGUAAAUCCGGUCAGGCGUGAUCUUCAUAGGACGGCUCAAAUGAGGCAGUUAGGCGUAGAUCCUCAUAAGGCAGGUAGUAUUGUCGGUAAUCGAAUCGUCUUUGUAAUCUUUCUCAUAAUUGUAAUAUCUAAAUAAAUCUCCAAAAAAAAAAAAAAGAAAAACUCCAUCAUUGAUGAAAACCAGUUUAAGUCAAAAACAAAAAACUCACCGUAGUCCAACACAUGUUCUCUCAUCCGGGCUUUAUUUUUAGCCCACUUAGCUUUCAUAAUUUACAAAUUAGGCCCAUUAGUUGUAGGACUCACUAAAUACUGUACAUGAUAAUGUUUGAUACAAACAAACAGGCCCAUCUUGUUUGAAUAUUUACAAUAUGCUCCCCAUUUCUAGUACGUCCAUUUAUAUAUCCCAGUAUCUUUGCUAACUUGAAAUAUAGUCCCAAUAUUGGUAUGACUUUACAGAAUGGCCUACCUACUAAAUACAUUAUUUGAGAAUUACAAACUAUGGCUCUUUGUAACACAUGCCAUUUUGUGAUUGGAUACGAUCCAGACUGGCCAAAAGGAAUGUAAAAUAACGUCGAACCAUACUACUACUACUAUCGUCGCAC
rnacentral:lncRNA from 1 species